AGCGCCUUUGAAGCGGAUCACCAUUCGUGACACCGUUACAUAAAGUCCGAGCAAUGAGAAAGGGUUCGACUUGCAAUCGGGAAUAUGAGUAGCAGACCAAACCGCUUCGAAUGGGAGGGAGAUGUUUACAAUCUAUCUCUUACAAUCAGGGUCAACGUAAUCCGUCGCGCUUCAAUUUCCGGUUACAUUGCCAAAGAACGUUAAUCUGAGGAUUAUUUGCAAUCGACUCGUUCACUUUGAUCCUGACCGUGGUGAAAGAAGAGCGCGAUCCUUUAGUUUGUUCAGUGGUGUAAUUGGCUAGCCUAGUUGUAAAUUGUGCGGUAGAGUUUUUGUGAGCUAUGCGACUGUCUUGUGUGUUAAAGACGACAAAGCCACCGCCUGCACGCCAUCACCAUUGCUCGUCGCCAUCGCCAACCCUUGCCACGCUCUGGACUCAAGGUUUCCCGCCUUGACGAAGGCGGAAGGGCUACUCCCGUCUAACUGCACUCCAACCGGCGACCCCCAGUCAAACCCCGGCCGAUUGAGUCGGCCCGAACCGUAAGUGUUUCCAAACCUUUUUUUUUCCGGACCCGUUCGCGGUUCCGAGUGUGCUGUAGUCAGCGAAAAUAGGCGAACCGUCGUAAGCUCCAGUCGGAGUCCAUCGCAGUGGCCGA